rnacentral:rRNA from 1 species
GACGAACGCUGGCGGCGUGCUUAACACAUGCAAGUCGAACGGAAAGGCCCUGCUUUUGUGGGGUGCUCGAGUGGCGAACGGGUGAGUAACACGUGAGUAACCUGCCCUUGACUUUGGGAUAACUUCAGGAAACUGGGGCUAAUACCGGAUAGGAGCUCCUGCUGCAUGGUGGGGGUUGGAACGUUUCGGCGGUUGGGGAUGGACUCGCGGCUUAUCAGCUUGUUGGUGGGGUAGUGGCUUACCAAGGCUUUGACGGGUAGCCGGCCUGAGAGGGUGACCGGCCACAUUGGGACUGAGAGACGGCCCAGACUCCUACGGGAGGCAGCAGUGGGGAAUAUUGCACAAUGGGCGGAAGCCUGAUGCAGCAACGCCGCGGGCGGGAUGACGGCCUUCGGGUUGUAAACCGCUUUCGCCUGUGACGAAGCGUGAGUGACGGUAAUGGGUAAAGAAGCACCGGCUAACUACGUG